rnacentral:pre_miRNA from 1 species
AGUAAAAUUGCUGGGUUGUAUGAUAGUUAUGUGCUUAGUUUUUUGGAAAAUUGCCAAACUGAUUUCCAGAAUGGCUGUACCAUUUUAUGUUUCUCUCAGCAAC